rnacentral:rRNA from 1 species
AUUAAACGGCCGCGGUACCCUGACCGUGCGAAGGUAGCAUAAUCACUUGUUCUCUAAAUAAGGACUUGUAUCAACGGCAUCACGAGGGUUAUACUGUCUCCUCUUUUUAAUCAGUGAAACUGACUUUCCCGUGAAGAGGCGGGAAUAGAAAUACAAGACGAGAAGACCCCAUGGAGCUUUAAACCCAGUAGUAACCUCUAUUUACUACUACUACUUAAUCAAGAAGGCCUACCUACUGGUUUUAGGUUGGGGUGACCCUGGAGUAAAACUAAGCCUCCAUGACGAAUAGAAUUAUUCUAAUCCCAGAGCCACUGCUCUACGAAUCAAAAUUUUGACGUAAACUGAUCCGCCUAGCGAUCAACGAACCAAGUUACCCUGGGGAUAACAGCGCAAUCCAUUUCAAGAGCCCCUAUCGACAAAUGGGUUUACGACCUCGAUGUUGGAUCAGGGUAUCCCAGUGGUGCAGCCGCUACUAAAGGUUUGUUUGUUCAACAAUUAAAACCUA